GCGGUACAGGAGGAUAAAACAGAGCGGUGCAGGAGGAUAAAACAGAGCGGUACAGGAGGAUAAAACAGAGCGGUACAGGAGGAUAAAACCAGAGCGGUACAGGAGGAUAAAACAGAGCGGUACAGGAGGAUAAAACAGAGCGGUACAAGAUUAUAAAACCAGAGCGGUACAGGAGGAUAAAACAGGAGGUACAGGAGGAUAAAACCAGAGCGGUACAGAGGAUAAAACAGAGUGGUACAGGAGGAUUAAACAGAGCGGUACAAGAUUAUAAAACCAGAGCGGUACAGGAGGAUAAACCAGAGCGGUACAGGAGGAUAAACCAGAGUGGUACAGGAGGAUAAAACCAGAGCGGUACAAGAUUAUAAAACCAGAGCGGUACAGGAGGAUAAAACAGAGCGGUACAGGAGGAUAAACCAGAGUGGUACAGGAGGAUAAACCAGAGUGGUACAGGAGGAUAAAACCAGAGUGGUACAGGAGGAUAAAACAGAGUGGUACAGGAGGAUAAACCAGAGCGGUACAGGAGGAUGAAACCAGAGCGGUACAGGAGGAUAAAACAGAGUGGUACAGGAGGAUAAAACAGAGUGGUACAGGAGGAUAAAACAGAGUGGUACAGGAGGAUAAAACAGAGUGGUACAGGAGGAUAAAACAGAGUGGUACAGGAGGAUAAAACCAGAGAGGUACAGGAGGAUAAAACAGAGUGGUACAGGAGGAUAAAACCAGAGCGGUACAGGAGGAUAAAACAGAGUGGUACAGGAGGAUAAAACCAGAGCGGUACAGGAGGAUAAAACCAGAGCGGUACAGGAGGAUAAAACCAGAGCGGUACAGGAGGAUAAAACCAGAGCGGUACAGGAGGAUAAAACCAGAGCGGUACAGGAGGAUUAAACCAGAGUGGUACAGGAUUAUAAAACCAGAGCGGUACAGGAGGAUAAAACCAGCGCGGUACAGGAGGAUAAAACAGAGUGGUACAGGAGGAUAAAACAGAGCGGUACAGGAGGAUAAAACAGAGCGGUACAGGAGGAUAAAACAGAGCGGUACAGGAGGAAAGAGGAGAACAGGGGAU